rnacentral:rRNA from 1 species
CCUACGGGAGGCUGCAGCGGGGAAUAUUGCACAAUGGGCGCAAGCCUGAUGCAGCCAUGCCGCGUGUGUGAAGAAGGCCUUCGGGUUGUAAAGCACUUUCAGCGGGGAGGAAGGCGGUGAGGUUAAUAACCUCAUCGAUUGACGUUACCCGCAGAAGAAGCGCCGGCUAACUCCGUGCCAGCAGCCGCGGUAAUACGGAGGGUGCAAGCGUUAAUCGGAAUUACUGGGCGUAAAGCGCACGCAGGCGGUCUGUCAAGUCGGAUGUGAAAUCCCCGGGCUCAACCUGGGAACUGCAUUCGAAACUGGCAGGCUAGAGUCUUGUAGAGGGGGGUAGAAUUCCAGGUGUAGCGGUGAAAUGCGUAGAGAUCUGGAGGAAUACCGGUGGCGAAGGCGGCCCCCUGGACAAAGACUGACGCUCAGGUGCGAAAGCGUGGGGAGCAAACAGGAUUAGAUACCCGUGUAGUC